GUCUGGCUGUCCAGCCUAAUGGUACUCUUUCCAGAGAGGAACGGGAUGAUCUUCUCAAACAACAAGAUGCAGCUCGCCGCACCUGGAGACACAUAUGGAAGAAACAGGAGGUGAGCCUCCAACACACCUGCGAAAACCACCGCAGUGAUGACCGCAGCGAACAGGGCAGCUCGGAGCUUCUCGUCCACUCUGUGGAUGUUCAUGGCCGUGGCUUGGACCGUGAAGGUGCACAUCAGCUCCACGGCCGCGGCCUCCAGUAGCGUCCCCCCGAGCGGGUCGAAGCACCUGAACCCGAACCUCUGGUGCCGGACGUGGACGUCGGAGAGACCCAGCGACCACACGGAGACUGCGAAGAACUGCGCGGCGACCGCAGCGCCGAACUGGAGGGCGAUGAGGACGAGCGCCGCCUUGACACUGCUGCUGCCGCGGCAGACUCUCUCCACAGCCGCGAUGGGGUUACACGUCGCCUCCCGUAAAGUUGUCAAGUGGACCACAGUUAUGAAGUAAGUGAUGGUGAGGCCGACCGGCAGCUCCAGCCGGGUGGUUUCUCCCAGCAGCUUGAGUUCAUGUGUGCAGCAGCAGAGCUGGAAGGUGGACGCCGCCUCCAGCAGGUAAAUCCAAUAAGCUCCAGGGGAAAGACGCGCGGCGGUCCACCGGACCGCCUCGCUGAGCAGCACCGCCGCCGCCAACACCGCCAAGGAAACGAACAGGUCAGACAUCUCCACGGCUGUCCAGACACACACCGACGGCUUGACCUGACGUGACAAACCGUUCCUUAGGAUGUUGGCAACUUUUAAACGGGUCACUUACGUGACCGGUUGCCAAAGUCCAGUUGAUCCACGUUGCCGCAGCUGCGUCAAACCGCGCAGCGUGAAAGAAGAAGAAGGGCGGCGGAACUUUCACAAUAACAGCACAGGCAUUUUGGCAAAAUCCCUCCUGCAGCUACAAACAAACCUCCAAGAUUCUGUCUGCUCAGUGGGAAAUGAAUGGAACAAGCGGCUGAAUGCGUAGAAAACUAGGAGGUACACAUGUUUCGUUUUCUCUGGAUUUUGUGACAAAACAUAAAUUCUGGCUUUCAUGUCCACAGAAUCACCUGUUCAGCUGUUAGACUGAAUUGUUCGACUUGUUUGGGACAAAACUGCAGCAGAAGUCAGAGAAUGUGGUUUAGUUUUCAGCAAAUUCCAACUUAAUUUAGGAGUUAGAAAACAGAGUCUCUGUUCUAACAAUAAGAAUGAAUGUUUUGGGCUCAGUACCAGUUUCUGUUUUACUUAAUAUUUAAAUAUUUUUUUACAGCCACAGGAGUCCAGACAGCAGAGACAUGAGACUUCAGGGUUAAAAAGUCAUGUUUAUAUGCAGACUACAUGAGAGUUUACACAAUAUGUAAAUAUGUGACACAAUAUUCAAGUAUUUACCAGCGUGGAUGCAAGGAUCAGGGAGGAAAUGUGGCAGAAAAAUGUUCUCCUUCAGGAUGAAGCUCAAAACCUGAAACUUUUGGUUGUCUUACUGGCAGGAAGUCUGAAAUAAAACAUCAGAAGAAGCACAUCUGUAGUAUUUGUUUAAAAAAAAAACAACUUAAAUAUCAGAGGGAACUGUCUUAUGUAAUAUAAAAUCCCAUCUUCUGAAUACUUCCUUAAAACAAGCAGCCUAAUUGAACCUGGUUGUAUUUGUUCUGUUUGGACUCUACAUGGUUAUUUUUUUUACCGAAUAGAUUCAGUUUUUCCUCUGAGCUCUCAUGAUCUCAGUAUUUACUUUCUUUCAUCCAGAUGUAUGAUAUUAGAAUGAUGGACCAUAAAAGAUCAGAGAAAUUAGGGAGGUUGUUCAAGGUUCACAGAGUGAAUAAGAAACUUUAACACAAACCAACCACUACCAUGCUAUUUUAUACACAUUUAAAGUGUAUAUUAACAAUAUAAGGUGUUCACUGUCUGACUUUCUUCCCAUCUUUUCUAUCAGUCUUUGUCUCUUUUUCCAUUGUUCUUUCUCUUAUUUGUCAUUCAGCUAUUCCUUCAUGUUUCUGUGAUUUAGUAUUUUUUUCCCAUCUUUCUUUGUCGUUUUUCUGUCUUUCAGUCUUUAUCUUUUUCCCAUUGUUCUUGCUCAUAUUUUGUCUUUUAGCUGCUCCUCCAUCUUUCUGUUUUAGUGUUUUUCCAUAUUUUUACUUUGCCAAGUAACAUGACGGAGUUAUGUGACAAUCAGCGUACGUUUGAACGUCUGUUAUUUCGUCUGUGUGCAACAUUACUCAAAAAGGAAACAACAAAUUAUAAUGAAAUUUUCAGGGAAGAUCAGAAAUGACAAGGACCAAGUGAUUAGAUUUUGACAGUGAUGUGACUCAUAGUCUGGAUGCACAGAUUUGUUAGAGGUUUCUGUAUCAUUGUGAGAUAGCAGUGCAGCGUCACUGUAACCAUGACAACAAGUGAACACUACAUCAGCAGCCUGCUGACGAUCACAUGAUUGUGAUCCUACUACAAAUCCACCGCUGGAGGCUUAUCAGGACUUAUCCGUCAGAAAUGAUACAAGGAACAAUUGAUUAAAUUGUGGGGGUGUUUCUGAAUCCCAUCAAUUCCUGCUGCCUGCUACAUAUUUAGGUCACAUGAUUUGGUAUCCGUACAUAACGUAUGCAUGCAUGACACACGCCUGUGAUCAGCACAAGGUCAUUUUGUUUAUGGGUACAUCUAUAUGAAAUGGCCACAUUCUAUGUCGCCUUCAUCUUGCAACUUUUGUCAUUGUUCUUUCUGCCUUUUUUCUGUCUUUCAGUCCUUUUCCUCUCCUUCUGCUUUUUUCCUUUUUGUGUUUGACUUUCUUUCUUUCUUUCUUUAUUUGAGCUUUUUCAUUGUUCUUUCUCUUUCAAUCUUUUUUCUUUUUCACUCUACCUUUAGUCUUUUAGUCUUUCUGUCUUUUAGUCUUUUUUUAUGGUAUUUAGUCUUGUUUUCAUCUGUCUUUCAGUGUUUCUGUUCUUCAUGCUUUCCCUCAUUAAUGAUAGUUAGAUAAUUUUUCAUUGUGUUUAAUUGAUUAAAUUAAUCCCUGCUUUUUCCAGAUUUGUAAAUGUAUUAUUUAUUAAGUAGCUGGAAUAUAAGAUAUUUAUAUUCUGGUUUAAACAGUCUGCCUGCUGCUCCAGCUGUGUUCAGCCUCUGUACCAGGAUGUCCAAAUGAAAGACUACUGAUGUGUUUUUACAAAGUUUUCACAUAUUUUGAUAUUGAAGUUAAAAUUUACAAUAAGUUUAACAAAAUAUUUGUCCACCAAAUGUGGAUCAUUUGUCUGAAUAUUUCUGAACACUGCCACUUUCAGUCUUGACCUGCUUCUCUGUCCAUUUUUAAAAAAUACUUUCUGAUUUUAUUUGCAUUUUAUUCAUAUUUUGAUUGAUUUUCUGUCUUUAUUAUGAAUAGCUGCUGCUGUGCUUGUCUCUGUGACAUUAAGUUUCCUGCCUACAAACCAAAUUCCCUUUAGAAUGAUGAUGAUAAAUGUGGACUAAACCACACCUGGACUCACCUGGUGGCUGCAGUGUGUUUCAUCAACAGGACUCAGUGUAAAGAUGCAAAGAAUUCAUAAUGUUGUCACUUCUGCUGUAAUUUCAAAAUAAAGGUAAAAUGUUGCCUUUUACUUUACAGCUUUUCUUUGCCCAUAAAUUGGGAGUUCAUGUGGCAGCAGAUUUAACAAAUAUUAAUAAUAAAUCUCUUUUCCCUUUAAAAUGUCCUCUGUGCUUUG